rnacentral:rRNA from 1 species
UACGUAGGGUGCGAGCGUUAAUCGGAAUUACUGGGCGUAAAGCGUGCGCAGGCUGUUUUGUAAGUCAGAUGUGAAAUCCCCGAGCUCAACUCGGGAACUGCGUCCGAUACUGGCGGGCUUGAAUCCGGGAGAGGGAUGCGGAAUUCCAGGUGUAGCGGUGAAAUGCGUAGAUAUCUGGAGGAACACCGGUGGCGAAGGCGGCAUCCUGGACCGGUAUUGACGCUGAGGCGCGAAAGCUAGGGGAGCAAACGGG